GAGAAAAGGACUAUUUUGAUCUUAAAACAAGAACUAUGAAGAAAAGGUGAGUACCAAUUAGGUGUUGCUAUGAUCAACUUUUUAAACAGCUUAUUAACAGUGAAAUAAAACUCAUUGUGCUGAUAAGUGAAGAAAGGAAGGAAAAUCCAUGAUAAUUCAUCAUAUAUCAUAAGACAUCAGCAUCUGGACAUAAGAACCAUGCCAGUCACUGUGACUCUAAACAGAGAGAGAAGUCCUCUUCGAGCCCCACCGGUUUACAGAAGUCUAUCAAUCUCUCUGUCCAUCUUCCGGAUCAUUAUUCAAGUUACUAUCCCCAAUUUUGCUGGGUACAUAAGAUCUAGCCACACUCUGUAGAUCAUUUUUCCUCCUUGUGGAUUAGGAAUUUGUUCUCUUUAAAUUAUCUCUGAGUGAAUAUGCUGCUCAGAAAAAGUAGCAGGAAUGUCAACAUCACAUGUGUUUGCCUUGUGUAUGUAUUUAUAUAUCUACCUCUCCACCCUUGUACUGUGAUUGCCUUACAAGAAGUUAAAGCUAUGUCUGGAACCAGUAGCAAAAG
rnacentral:lncRNA from 1 species